AACGAACGCUGGCGGCAGGCCUAACACAUGCAAGUCGAGCGCCCCGCAAGGGGAGCGGCGGACGGGUGAGUAACGCGUGGGAACGUACCCUUUGCUACGGAAUAGCCUCGGGAAACUGGGAGUAAUACCGUAUGUGCCCUUCGGGGGAAAGAUUUAUCGGCAAAGGAUCGGCCCGCGUUGGAUUAGGUAGUUGGUGGGGUAAUGGCCUACCAAGCCGACGAUCCAUAGCUGGUUUGAGAGGAUGAUCAGCCACACUGGGACUGAGACACGGCCCAGACUCCUACGGGAGGCAGCAGUGGGGAAUCUUAGACAAUGGGCGCAAGCCUGAUCUAGCCAUGCCGCGUGAGCGAUGAAGGCCUUAGGGUGUAAAGCUCUUUCAGUGGGGAAGAUAAUGACUGUACCCACAGAAGAAGCCCCGGCUAACUCCGUG
rnacentral:rRNA from 1 species